rnacentral:rRNA from 1 species
UAGGGAAUCUUCCACAAUGGACGCAAGUCUGAUGGAGCAACGCCGCGUGAGUGGAGAAGGUCUUCGGAUCGUAAAACUCUGUUGUUAGAGAAGAACACGAGUGAGAGUAACUGUUCAUUCGAUGACGGUAUCUAACCAGCAAGUCACGGCUAACUACGUGCCAAG